UAAAUUUAAAAAAAAUGUUAAAAAUAUUUGUAUUAAGUCUCCCAUAAAUAUAUUCAAAAUAUUCCGUCUUUCGCUAUGUGCAUCUAAGGCUAAAUACGUCCGAGAGACCGAUACGUCACAAGUACCGUGAGGGAAACUUGAAAAGAACUUUGAAGAGAGAGUUCAAGAGUACGUGAAACCGCUUAAAUUAAAACGGGUGGGCCCUCAAAGCUCGAGAGCGAUGGGAUUCAGUUUCGCUGUGACUUGGAGGAGUGUCAGCGUCUUGGUUAACGGGCUCUUCUCGUGGGGGCCCGUUCCGUCUUCCCCGCGGUGCCGCGCACUCCGGAACGCAUUUUUCACCGUCGGUAGGACGCCGCGACGGGCACGGGGACCCUUUCAAGAACGACUUUGAGUCCGGCCGCUGGAGGUGACCGGUGACGGCUCUUGUUUGGCUGCCGAGGGAGUUAUACAUGGCCGGUAAGCGAGUACGUCACCCUGCAGGCCUCAUUGGCUACUCCCUUCGGGGAGGCCCGAAAGGAUGCCCUCCGGAUGCGGAGCGAGAAACCCGGCUGGGUCAACGGGUCCCCUGUCUUACGCCAGGUAUUUGCCCGACGUUCGGUGCUGGGGUCGGAACAGGCGAGCGGGUUCUUUCCGGUGAGAUUUUGUGUCAUGGUUGGUGGCGAGUUGGUUGGUAACCCACACGACCCGUCUUGAAACACGGACCAAAGAGUCUAACAUGUGCGCGAGUCAAUAGGUCCCUCAAAACCCAGAGGCGCAAUGAAACGUGAAGCCGCGGCCUCGUGCCGUGCCGAGUUGCGAUCCCUGGCCGUCCAGGGGUCCGAUGAAGGGAGCAACAACGGCCCGCCCCACAGGCUCACGUCCUGGGGGCGGCGCUAGAGAGCACACGUUGGCACCGGAAAGACGGUGAACUAUGCCCGGGCACGACGAGGCCAGAGGAAAC
rnacentral:ncRNA from 1 species